AGAGUUUGAUCAUGGCUCAGAUUGAACGCUGGCGGCAUGCCUUACACAUGCAAGUCGAACGGUAACGGGCCUUCGGGUGCCGACGAGUGGCGAACGGGUGAGUAAUGCAUCGGAACGUACCUUCAGUGGGGGAUAACGUAGCGAAAGUUACGCUAAUACCGCAUAUUCUGUGAGCAGGAAAGCAGGGGAUCGCAAGACCUUGUGCUGAUUGAGCGGCCGAUGUCAGAUUAGCUAGUUGGUGAGGUAAAGGCUCACCAAGGCGACGAUCUGUAGCGGGUCUGAGAGGAUGAUCCGCCACACUGGAACUGAGACACGGUCCAGACUCCUACGGGAGGCAGCAGUGGGGAAUUUUGGACAAUGGGGGCAACCCUGAUCCAGCCAUGCCGCGUGAGUGAAGAAGGCCUUCGGGUUGUAAAGCUCUUUCGGCCGGGAAGAAAUCGCAUGGGUUAAUACCCUGUGCGGAUGACGGUACCGGCAUAAGAAGCACCGGCUAACUACGUG
rnacentral:rRNA from 1 species